rnacentral:rRNA from 1 species
CCUACGGGUGGCAGCAGUCGAGAAUCAUUCACAAUGGGGGAAACCCUGAUGGUGCGACGCCGCGUGGGGGAAUGAAGGUCUUCGGAUUGUAAACCCCUGUCAUGUGGGAGCAAAUUAAAAAGAUAGUACCACAAGAGGAAGAGACGGCUAACUCUGUGCCAGCAGCCGCGGUAAUACAGAGGUCUCAAGCGAUGUUCGGAAUCACUGGGCGUAAGGCGUGCGUAGGCUGUUUCGUAAGUCGUGUGUGAAAGGCGCGGGCUCAACCCGCGGACGGCACAUGAUACUGCGAGACUAGAGUAAUGGAGGGGGAACCGGAAUUCUCGGUGUAGCAGUGAAAUGCGUAGAUAUCGAGAGGAACACUCGUGGCGAAGGCGGGUUCCUGGACAUUAACUGACGCUGAGGCACGAAGGCCAGGGGAGCGAAAGGGAUUAGAUACCCUGGUAGUC